CAGUUAGGCGCGUGUAAUGUGUGCGGACAGGCUUUUUUUCCCCGCCGGCGGCUGAAUGAAAUCAGACAGUUGACGACGCACCCUCUGUUUAUAUGCACAUAUGUCUUGUCUAACCUCAUUACUGUUUGUCUGGUUGUUGACGUCUUUUCAUCAAAAGUCGAAACAUUAUUGUUCACCUGUAUACCAAGGCCUGUGAUGUGCCUUCUUUAUCCAAGUGGCCUUUACCUACCAAGUACCUGUAUUACCACAUGAUGUGGAAGAUCUUUUGAAACAGCAGGGCAAGUCGGUGUUGUCAAGGCAGUAUUAUCGUAAGAUUAUACAAAGUUUAUUUGAAGACAUGAUACAAUUUACUCUAUAUCCAACAACAGCUGAGUAUACUGAGGUAGCUAGAGCUAGUUACCAAAUUUAAGAUCUUAGAAGAUAAAUCUGGAACUUCAACAGGACAUGAUAAUAUGUCAGGAGAAAACCAAGUCAGCAUCAAGCAUGUAACAGAUUUAAUGGACCUUUCAAAGAAGUGUAACCCAGACCAGAACAUUAUGGUCGAUAAACUAGAGCGUACAAAGGAA